rnacentral:rRNA from 1 species
GACGAACGCUGGCGGCGUGCCUAGUACAUGCAAGUUGAGCGCUGAAGGUUGGUACUUGUACCAACUGGAUGAGCAGCGAACGGGUGAGUAACGCGUGGGGAAUCUGCCUUUGAGCGGGGGACAACAUUUGGAAACGAAUGCUAAUACCGCAUAAAAACUUUAAACACAAGUUUUAAGUUUGAAAGAUGCAAUUGCAUCACUCAAAGAUGAUCCCGCGUUGUAUUAGCUAGUUGGUGAGGUAAAGGCUCACCAAGGCGAUGAUACAUAGCCGACCUGAGAGGGUGAUCGGCCACAUUGGGACUGAGACACGGCCCAAACUCCUACGGGAGGCAGCAGUAGGGAAUCUUCGGCAAUGGACGAAAGUCUGACCGAGCAACGCCGCGUGAGUGAAGAAGGGUGUCGGAUCGUAAAACUCUGUUGGUAGAGAAGAACGUUGGUGAGAGUGGAAAGCUCAUAAAGUGACGGUAACUACCCAGAAAGGGACGGCUAACUACGUG